AACGUAGGACGCAAGCGUUAUCCGGAGUUACUGGGCGUAAAGCGCGGGCAGGCGGUCUUGCCAGUCUGAUGUGAAAUCUCUCAGCUCAACUGGGAGCAGCCAUUGGAAACUACAAGACUGGAGUCUGACGGAGGUAGGCGGAAUUCCGGGUGGAGUGGUGAAAUGCGUAGAGAUCCGGAGGAACACCAGAGGCGAAGGCGGCCUACUGGGUCAGUACUGACGCUGAGCCGCGAAAGCCAGGGGAGCGAACGGG
rnacentral:rRNA from 1 species